AAAGAGUAUACAUCAGUGCCUUUAUAUAGGAGGCAUAUAUGUGUAGUACAAGGGUGCAGUACAAAGGUGUAGUACAAGUGCAAUACAAAGGUGUAGUACAAGUGUAUAGUACAAGUACUAUACAAGUAACCUAACUGGGCCUAGAGCCCACAAUACAAUAUACUUUCACAGCCCCCCUCAACUUCAAGGUGGAUGUGAGACCAACUUGAGGUUGUCAACUAAAUCACGAGUGCGUCUCUUAGGAAGAGACUUGGUGAAGAUAUCUGCAAGUUGAUCUUUGGAGGAGACGGAGAAAAGCUUAAGAGCACCAUGGAGAAGAUGAUAACGGAUAAAAUGACAAUCAAUCUCGAUGUGUUUAGUCCGUUCAUGAAAGACAUCAUUGUGAGCAAUAUGAAUAGCACUCUGGUUGUCACAAUAAAGAGGAGUAGCAGAGGAGGUGGAUACACCCAAAUCCUUAAGGAGCCAUCUUAGCCAAAGGAGCUCAGAUGUGGUAUCAGCAAGGGCACGAUAUUCUGCUUCAGUACUGGAGCGGGCCACAAAGGUUUGUUUCUUACUUCGCCAAGAAAUCAAAGAAGAACCAAGGAGGAAGCAAUAACCUGUAGUGGACCUGCGAUCAGUAGGAUCUCCUGCCCAAUCAGCAUCUGAGAAUGCACGGAGUACAAGAGGAGACUGGGUUGAGUAGAAAAGGCCAUGAAAAAGGGUACCCUUCAGUAUCGAAGAAUGCGCAGAACAGCAGCAUAGUGAGUUGAUCGUGGAGCAGAC
rnacentral:lncRNA from 1 species